rfam:Trichuris trichiura, WGS project CBXK01000000 data, contig: TTRE_2812
GGCCGGAUAGCUCAGCCCGUUAGAGCGCGGUGCUAAUAACGCUAAGAUGGUGGGUUCAAUCCUCACUCUGGCCA